rnacentral:rRNA from 1 species
GAUGAACGCUGGCGGCGUGCCUAACACAUGCAAGUCGAGCGGCAGCGAGGGGUGCUUGCACCCUGUCGGCGAGCGGCGGACGGCUGAGUAACGCGUGGGAACGUGCCCCAAAGUGAGGAAUAACUGCCCGAAAGGGUAGCUAAUACCGCAUAUUAUCUUCGGAUCAAAGGAUUUAUCCGCUUUGGGAGCGGCUCGCGUCGGAUUAGGUAGUUGGUGAGGUAAUGGCUCACCAAGCCGACGAUCCGUAGCUGGUCUGAGAGGAUGACCAGCCAGACUGGAACUGAGACACGGUCCAGACUCCUACGGGAGGCAGCAGUGAGGAAUCUUCCACAAUGGGCGAAAGCCUGAUGGAGCAACGCCGCGUGCAGGACGAAGGCCUUCGGGUUGUAAACUGCUUUUAUAAGUGAGGAAUAUGACGGUAACUAAUGAAUAAGGAUCGGCUAACUACGUG